rnacentral:ncRNA from 1 species
AUAAUGAUACUUCUGCAUAGUCAACAGUCCGAGCGUGAUAAAACCGUCGCAGGCAAUGAGUGCAGUUGCAUGAGAACCAUGCAAGGGUGGAACUCCCGUGA